GACGAACGCUGGCGGCGUGCUUAACACAUGCAAGUCGAACGGAAAGGACCGGCGCUUGCGGGGGGCUCGAGUGGCGAAAGGGUGAGUAACACGCGAGUAAACUGCCCUUGACAUUGGGGUAACUUAAGGAAACAGGGGCGAUUAAAGGAUAGGAGCUCCCGCUGCAUGGUGGGGGUUGGAAAGUUUCGGCGGUUGGGGAUGGACUCGGGGUUUAUCAGGUUGUUGGUGGGGUAGGGGGUGACCAAGGCUUUGCCGGGUAGCCGGCCUGAGAGGGUGGCCGGCGACAUUGGGACUGAGAUACGGCCCAGUCUCCUACGGGAGGCAGCAGUCGGGAAUAUGGCACAAUGGGCGCAAGCCUGAUGCAGCAACGCCGCGUGCGGGAUGACGCGCUUCGAGUUGUAAACCGCUUUCGCCUGUGACGUAGCGUGAGUGACGGUAAUGAGUAAAGAAGCACCGGCUAACUACGUG
rnacentral:rRNA from 1 species